rnacentral:rRNA from 1 species
AAGGGGUGCUGACGUGCAAAUCGCUCCCCAGACGCGGGCAUAGGGGCAAAAGACCAAUCUAGCCCGGUGAUAGCUGGUUCCCUCCGAAGUGCGUCCUAGCGCAGCCCGACUGGAGAUCGCCGACGGGGUAGAGCUACGGAUUAGAAAGUGAGAGCCGAAAGGCUCCGCUUUCUCGUCCAACUCCGAAUCCGUCGGCUUCUGAGAAGGUCGGAGUGGGGUUCUACGGGAUAAGCUCGUAGGCCGAGAGGGGAACAAUCCUGACUGAGGUUAAGGUCCCUAAGUGCCGGCUAAGUGUCAAGUAAAGAGCGUCCUACACCUAAGACAGCGAAAAGGUGGGCCCAGAAGUAGCCAUCCUCUAAGGAGUGUGUAACAACUCAUUCGCCGAGGUGUAGGGCCUCGAAGAUGGACGGGGCUCAAGCCGGCCACCAAUACCUCGGCACACUUCAUUCAGUGAAGUGCGGGUAGGAGGGCGUUCCGGUUGGGCAGAAGCAGGGUUGUGAAAUCCUGUGGACCGACUGGAAUUGCGGAUCCCGGUGGUAGUAGCAGCAAAGAGAGGAGAAUAUCCUCUCCGCCGAAAGGGCCAGGGUUCCUUGGCAACGAUCUUCGGCCAAGGGUUAGCCGGUCCUAAGAUGGCCCGCAACACGGUGCCGUCAAAAGAGGAAAAGGGGUUAACAUUCCCCUGCCACGGAGAUACGUGCCGCAAGGCGUGCCGGCGUCCGACGCUUCAGGAUAGGUCAGGCGGGGCUGCCGCCCUGCUGGUAGAACCGAACUCUGGGGAGUGUCAUAACGACGAGAACCAGACCAAGGUUGUGCCAGUCCCUCGCAAGAGGGAUCUGGCUGCGUCCCGGAGCCCGUGAAAAAAGACGCCGGAAGGAUUCUUCGUGACCGUACCUAGAUCCGACACUGGUGCCCCUGGGUGAGAAGCCCAAGGCGUGUCGGGUUUAUCCCUGGUUAGGGAACUUGGCAAUUUAGCCCCGUACCUUUGGUAUAAGGGGUGCCUGGCAUCCUGCCGUAAGGUGGAGGUGCCAGGUCGCAGUGACUCGGGUGAGCCGACUGUUUAAUAAAAACAUAGGUCACCGCUAGCCGGUAACGGUUUGUACGGUGGCUGAAUCCUGGCCACUGGCGGGACGUCAAACCUGGGUUCAACCAGGCGAAGCGCCGCUGAAGGCCGGGAGUAACUCUGACUCUCUUAAGGUAGCCAAAUGCCUUGCCGGGUAAGUUCCGGCGUGCAUGAAUGGACCAACGAGCUCACCACUGUCCCAACCAGGGGCCCGGCGAAACUACGUCACCUGGUGCAUAGUCCAGGGACCCCCGACCGGGAGAAAAGACCCCGUGGAGCUUUACUGCAGCCUGUUGUUGAGACGUGGUUAGGGAUGCGGAGAGUAGGCGGGAGCGAGGAAGCCGUGGUUCCGGCCGCGGUGGAUGCGCCGUUGAAACACCGCCCAUCUUUAACCACGUCCCUCACCCCGAAAGGGGAACAGCAAUAGGUGGGCAGUUCGGCUGGGGCGGCACGCCCAUGAAAAGGCAUCGUGGGCGCCCAAAGGUUGGCUCAGGCGGGUCAGAACUCCGCCGUAGAGUGCAAGGGCAAAAGCCAGCCUGACCGUGUCCUUAUGGCGAGGGACGCGGAGGGGAAACCCAGGCCUAGCGACCGCUCAUGCCUCUAUCGGUGGGAGCUGGGCAUGACAGAAAAGUUACCCCGGGGAUAACAGAGUCGUCGCGGGCGAGAGCUCCUAUCGACCCCGCGGUUUGCUACCUCGAUGUCGGCUCUUCCCAUCCUGGUGGUGCAGCAGCCGCCAAGGGUGGGGCUGCCCGCCCAUUAAAGGGGAACGUGAGCUGGGUUUAGACCGUCGUGAGACAGGUCGGUCUCUCCCUAUCGGGGGUGCUGGUCGCCUGAGGGAAGGGUACCCUCAGUACGAGAGGAACGGGGUGCCGCGGCCUCUAGUUUACCGGUUGUCUGGCAAGGCAGACGCCGGGCAGCCACGCCGUAACCGGGUAACCGCUGAAAGCAUCUAAGUGGGAACCCGGCCCCGAAAAUAGGCAACCACUCCCGUUGC